UAUGGUCAUCACGCCUUCUGUGUCCUUUUCUCUAAUUUCUUCUGAGACAAUGUGGAGCUGUUUGAACAAACUGUUCUUUUAGGGCAUUUUUUCAUCUCUCACACGGAUGGCUCCAUUUGCCGUUUUGAAGCUUGUGUCUCCAAACCAAAACACGAUGUGGAAAAAGAGUUUUCUCAUGUUCCUUUUCUCUCUUUCAGUUCAAAGAGCUGCCCUGGAUUGUGAGGGGAGAAGAAUAAGCCAACUCCCUUCUCCAAGUCUGAACUCAAAAACAAAUGCAGUCAUGAGGGGUCAAAAUGUAUCUUUAAUUUGUUCCAUCCAGAACCAAUCACUACAGAUCACCUAUUUUUUGUUUCGGCACAAUAAGCACCUGAGAACCCAGAACGGAAAAGGUGAACCUGUGAUUUUUAACCUAAGCAUCUCAGAAGCCCAUGAUUUGGGACCCUACAAAUGCAAAGUCCAAGUUUCUAACUGUUCAGUGAUCAAAUACAGUCAUGAGAUCAACUUCAUCUUUGUUGACCCAGUGAUUACACCAGUGCUGGAUGUUAACGUCAUCAAAAUAGAAACAGACCGACAUAUAAUACUGCGUUGCAUCUCAUUCAACGGCUCUCUGCCCAUCAAUUAUACCUUCUUUGAGAAAGAUACUGCCAUAUCACCAGCCAUUUCCAAGUACGUAAGGGAGCCUGCUGAAUUCAACUUAACCAAGAGAAACGCGGGAGGAAGAGAAGAGUAUAGAUGCAAAGCUAAAAACAAAUUGCCUGACCACGCAAAAUACAGUCAGCCGGUCUUCAUCAAUCCCUCGACAGAUGGAGGCAGCUGUCCUCUCUGCCUGCAGCUGCUGCUUCCGGGAUCACUGCUGGGGCUGAUAGUAAUAAUCUCAAUUCUGACAUUUUGGAUACUACCGAAGUACAAAGCAAAUGUAGGGAAAGCUAUGAGAGAUCAGGCACGCAGCAACUGUGGAAAUACACCCAUGGAAACUGGAAUAUAUGCGAAUAUCUGUGAAACUCAAGCAGGCGAGGAAUCCGUGCCUGGCUUGGAACCCCGGCAGUGUGUUCCCGCAGCCCGAGACGGAGCUGAACACUCUUGGGAGAUACAUUAUGCUACCCCCAUGUUCCAGGAGGUGGCACCAGGACAUCAUGAAGCCUGUAAUGAUGGUAAAACUGGAUCUAUCUAUUCUGAACUCGUCAGAAGAUGACAUUUAAAGAUACAAGCUACAUCUCAGAGUGAAGAAAUAUUUUCUCAACUUGAGGUCAUACAGAUGGUCUUACAAUCUGGACGCCAGAGAGCUUCUGCCACCUUUACCCUGGUCGCCUCCCGCCACAAGAGCCUCAGGCCCGGACACUGGGGGCUACACAUGGGGGGUGAGCUCUGCCACUGCAGGCAUCUGCUUCUCAGCGACAAUCACCACCUUCCUUUCUACCUUCCGGACUCCACCCCCCCCCCCCCCAGCACGUGGGUCUAACUGGAAGAUAUUCACAACCAUAUACAUCCUGGCAGAAAGGGAAUUGUAACUUUUUAGGUUUCUGAUGCCACUAAAUAGAAGGAGGGUCCCGAUGAUGCUUAGGAGAGCCACUCAAAGUAUCUACCACAUUAGCCAAAAUAUCAAUCACGACUGAGGGUAAAAUGAAGGCAUUUUAAGACAGAGCCCAAGAAGGGUACACUAAAUACUUGAAGAAUAAACCUGAACACAGAUGAAGAAUGUAAGAUUCAAGUAGCAUAAACUAACCAUAAAUGACAGAUGUCAGGGGGACAGGGAGAGAGAGGUGUGCAUAAGGUUUGGAAACAUUAUAAAACCACCUGACGGGGGGCUCGAACUCAAGAACCGUGAGAUCAUGACCUGAGCCUAAAUCAAGAGUUGGACGCUCAGCUGACUAAACUACCCAGGGUCUUGACCACCUCUCUGACCUCAUCUUCUACCCAUCUCCCCUCCGCUCAUCUCCGGCUCCCCUGUUCCUUCUUUCUGCUCCUUGAUCAUUCCACACCGUUUCCCUCCUAAGGGCCUUGGCUCUCGCUAGUCCCGCUGCCCAGAAUGCACUGCCCCAGAUCCUCACACACCUGGCCCCUUUGCAUCAUUCAGCCUCAAUUUGAAGGUCACAUCCUCAGAGCUUCCCUGACAAUCUAUGCAAAACACACUUCCCAGCCAUGAUCUAGCACAUCAUCCUGUUCUAUUACCUACAACACUAUCACCAUCUGAAAUGACCUGAAAUUGUCCAUGUGCCUCCUGCUUAGCAUCUGUCCCCACCUGCCCACCCCCAGAAGGGACCUGUCUGUGUUGUUCACCACUACAGCCUUAGCACUUACGGUCCCUGGGGCUUAGGUGCUCAGAAAGCCUUUCUGAAUGAAUGAACAAGAUGAACAAACAGAGAACACAUACAAUAACAGGCGGUCUUAAGGAGAAGCACAACUAUCUGAGAGAAACUUCUCCCAUGCUUCCUUAGAGGAAGACUUGGUGUAACAGCAAACAAAUGCCUCCAAAGCCACUCUUAUGGCUAAAUCAAUAAUGAGUUCAUAGAACUAUUUCUAGCAACAUCUUUCAAUAGAUUUUGGUGUAGUGGAAUACACAGGAAGGGUAUUUGGUAAAAAAAAAAAAAAAAGUAUUAGAAAUAAUGGGAUUGGAGGGAAAAAUACAUCAGAACACUACCAUGCAGGUAUGAGGUAUGCAGCUCUCUGACAGAUUUAAUGAUAACUGCCACUGGGGUGAGCAUCAGAAAUCAACUGUACGUUUUAAAAAUAUACUUGCGUGGGCCCCGCUGUCAGAGACUGUUAUCAGGAAAGAAUAGGGCUCAAAUAUAUUCAGAUUUUACAGAGCUCCACAGGGGAUUCUGAUGUAGAGCUAUAGUUGGACAUCUCUGAUCGGGAUAAACCUCCGUAUUACUUACCUCACCUGCAGUGUGAACACUCUCUGUUGCCAAUUAGUGCAGAUGCCUUGGCAGUCACACCAGGAAUACGAUCCUCCUGUGAAGGCUGGGGCCCCUAAAAGGAUGAGGUACCUAAAUAAAAGAACCUGUCGGCAGGAUUGAGAUUUUUCCUUAGAAAAAUACUGUUUUAUAACUUAAAAAAAUUCUUACACUUAUAUUGAAACUAAGUAUUGAACCCCAAAAUGCAAAAAUGAAAUUUAAACUUUUAAGGAGAUGCACAGGGGGUCAUAUUGGUAUUGCAAUUCUGAGACUGCUGUAAUUAAGGUAAAAUAAAGCAAAUGAACAGUU